AUAAACAUGAGAGUUUGAUCCUGGCUCAGGACGAACGCUGGCGGCGUGCCUAACACAUGCAAGUCGAGCGAAGGGAGUACUACGGUACGAACUUAGCG
rnacentral:rRNA from 1 species